rnacentral:rRNA from 1 species
AGUGAACGCUGGCGGCAUGCCUUACACAUGCAAGUCGAACGGCAGCACAGUUGCUUCUUGCUGUUGCGGAUUGCCAGUCGCGUGAGUAAUACAUCUGCACCUGUCCCUUAUUUUUCGUUAGGCCUACGAAAGCCAGAUUUAUGCCGCAUACGCUCUACACAUGAGAGUGGAGGACCUUCAUCCUUCGCCCUUUCGCGUUUGCCGAUGCCUGAGUAGCUAGUUGGUGUGGUAAAGGCCUACCAAGGCGACGAUCAGUAGCUGGUCUGAGAGGACGAUCAGCCACACUGGAACUGAGACACGGCACAGACUCCUACGGGAGGCAGCAGUGGGGAAUUUUGGACAAUGGGCGAAAGCCUGACCCAGCAAUACCGCGUGGGUGAAGAAGGCCUUCGGGUUGUAAAGCACUUUUGUCCGGAAAGAAAAGCAUGGGGUUAAUACGGUGGGGGGAUGACGGUACCGAAAGAAUAAGCACCGGCUAACUACGUG